rnacentral:rRNA from 1 species
UUUUAUGGAGAGUUUGAUCCUGGCUCAGGAUGAACGCUGGCGGCGUGCCUAAUACAUGCAAGUCGAGCGAACAGACGAGGAGCUUGCUCCUCUGACGUUAGCGGCGGACGGGUGAGUAACACGUGGAUAACCUACCUAUAAGACUGGGAUAACUUCGGGAAACCGGAGCUAAUACCGGAUAAUAUAUUGAACCGCAUGGUUCAAUAGUGAAAGACGGUUUUGCUGUCACUUAUAGAUGGAUCCGCGCCGCAUUAGCUAGUUGGUAAGGUAACGGCUUACCAAGGCAACGAUGCGUAGCCGACCUGAGAGGGUGAUCGGCCACACUGGAACUGAGACACGGUCCAGACUCCUACGGGAGGCAGCAGUAGGGAAUCUUCCGCAAUGGGCGAAAGCCUGACGGAGCAACGCCGCGUGAGUGAUGAAGGUCUUCGGAUCGUAAAACUCUGUUAUUAGGGAAGAACAAAUGUGUAAGUAACUAUGCACGUCUUGACGGUACCUAAUCAGAAAGCCACGGCUAACUACGUGCCAGCAGCCGCGGUAAUACGUAGGUGGCAAGCGUUAUCCGGAAUUAUUGGGCGUAAAGCGCGCGUAGGCGGUUUUUUAAGUCUGAUGUGAAAGCCCACGGCUCAACCGUGGAGGGUCAUUGGAAACUGGAAAACUUGAGUGCAGAAGAGGAAAGUGGAAUUCCAUGUGUAGCGGUGAAAUGCGCAGAGAUAUGGAGGAACACCAGUGGCGAAGGCGACUUUCUGGUCUGUAACUGACGCUGAUGUGCGAAAGCGUGGGGAUCAAACAGGAUUAGAUACCCUGGUAGUCCACGCCGUAAACGAUGAGUGCUAAGUGUU